rnacentral:lncRNA from 1 species
GACUUAUCUAGCCUAAGAAAAAUUGCCCAACUACCAAGGUCCACCGAGACAAAAACCUCGUGUAGGUGAGCUACUUACCCUGGGAAUUCAUUGGUACAAUGCACACCGUGCCUGCCGUGGAGGGCUGUGCUGACAGAACUCCUUGGCCGUGGCUGCAACUCUUCCGAAUUGCAGUCAGUCGCCAGCUCGCCUGCAAAUAAAGAACAACAGGCUAAGCGCCGGAAGAGCUUUGCGCCGCAGAAUGGCAGACAACCGCGACACGCGUGGGAAAGGGGCCCAGCGGAAAGGCUGGCGAGAGAGAAGCUGUGUCCGACGGCAGUGAGCUGCGCUCGGGGAAGAUCCAGAACAUUUCCACACAGCAGUAGAAUUAGCAACUAUCACUGUCACAGUCAGCUCUUGAUCAUCACAAGGCUUGGACUCCCAAGAUGGAGCAAAAAAAAGCAUAUCUGUCCAUUUAUAUGAGAGUGAGGUAGUUAUCAGCUGCAAAAAGACAUGUAAAACCUGUGGCUGAACACUUCAUCCUCCCUGGAUGCUACAUUGCUGACCUCAGGAUUGCUGUUCUCAGGCAAAAAAAAAAAAAAUCAUAAAAAUCUAUUGCUCUCAGUAUGUUUGAACAGAAGAUGGUGAGUUUGCACAGAUGAUUGCAGCCCACAAGUUACAAUUAUUAAUUUUUGCUUGAUAUUAGUCAGAACUGUUUGUUCAUUUGAAAUAUUCAAGCCUUUAUUUUUCUACAAUGGCUAAAGGUUGAACUGUCAUGUGGUUUCAAUGCCACUGUUUAACACAGUCUAGGAGUUCAAUUCUACUCCCACAUAACAAAAGCAACAUUUCUCAUUUCUCUUCCCACACCUAAGGCUUCUUGAAAAGUCCCAAGGCCAAUGCAUCUAUAUCUGUUUUCAUCUGUUGUCAAUAUGGCCUUCCCCUGAAUACUUAUUAGGAGGAAAUUUUUGGCUUAAUCUUAUUUAUUUAAAAUAUAUCCCCCUCUCCUGGCACACAGACCACUAAAAUUCCUCUAGACAGUACCAUGCUUUUUGUUCACUUUAAAAUGUCCAGUGAUUAUCUUUAUUUUGCAACUCUCAGACAGCAUGACCAAUAGAACCUGAGCCAGGAGUGUUAACUUUUGGUUUUGGCCCAUUCCACCUACUGGCUUUCGCACCUGUAGUAUUGCAGUGACUAUAAUUGCUUUAAUUGCUUAUCUUAUUAUUGACUAUAAUUGUUUUAACUGUUUAUUUUGUUAUUUCUCUUUUUAUAUAAGGAAAAGAUUUGACCAUUAAGAUAAAGUUAGUAUUUGGAACUAACCAUCUAUUUUAAAUUUAUUGCCUAGCAUAAAUGUAUUUGAUCUAUUGGUUUCAUGACUUUAGAACUUAAAUUUGGUAUAAGGAAAACGCUUGUGUAAGGGUUUGUGGUAUAUCUGGUGUGUGUGAAUAUACGUCUGGUUUAUGUGGAAAGAGGUAAUGAAAGACUAAAUGAUGGACAUGUGUGCCAGUGACACAAAGAGACAGGCCUCUUGCAGCCGGUGAAAAUAGCAUUUGUGGUUUGACGAUUAAGAGCUGCAAGUGACCUCGAGUCAACAGUAAAGGAUUACCAAACACUAAAUCACGCUUCAUCCUGAUGACUGAAGACUGCAAGCGACAGCCCCUGAAGACUGCAGACCACAAAGCCAGAAGAUCAUGACCUACCAAUCCCAGCCUGCCAAUGGGACAAGAAGGACAGCCUUUGAAUCUGACUCCAUGAAAUCCAUAGGCUCUAUGGACAGCUAUUACUAUUAAAAAAAUGAACACAAAGACAAGGCUUCCACUUGCAAGAAGUUUUGGGCGCAUCCAACAGGACCUGACUCCAACUCUUUUGGCCAGCCUGGCCAGCCACCAGACUGACCUUGAGCAACUUUGAAACUUUGUAACACCUUAACCUUUGCGGGACUCUGUAACUUGUGUGUGUGCAUGCAUUUCGUUUCUUUGUAUAAAUAAAUGAAUAAAUGAAUAUGCA